rnacentral:rRNA from 1 species
GGGUCAGUAGGUUGGUCGUGCCACCGGUACGUACUGGUCUCACUGAUUCCUCCUUCCUGGAUAACCGUAAUGCCAUUAAUUUGGUGUUGCGGGGAAACAGGACUGUUACUUUGAAAAAAUUAGAGUGUUUAAAGCAGGCUAACGCUUGAAUACGUUAGCAUGGAAUAAUGAAAUAGGACGAUCGAUCCUAUUUUGUUGGUUUCUAGGAUUGACGUA